UUUCUAAUUCUUCCUGGAGGAGCUUGCUAUCUAACCGAUAAUCCACGUAAUACCUCACCAACUUUUGAAUUUGACAGCCUGUAUACCAUCGUCGUCAGUUUACUUCACGAGAAAUGUAAACAUAAAGAAUUAAUAACACUCUUGACGUCAGAUCGAGGUGCAGCUAAUAAGUUGGGGAUAAGUGAGCUACAAUGAUAAAAAAUAAAAUUAAAAAAUAUAAAUGAAUAACAGAUUGAAAAUUAACGUUUGAAACAGRAUUCAGCAGUAAUGGGUAAAAGAAAAUACUCAUGAACAACCCCCCAAGCUCUAGAAUGCGC
rnacentral:rRNA from 1 species